CAAUAGCGUAUAUUAAAGUUGUUGCAGUUAAAAAGCUCGUAGUUGGAUUUCUGGUGGGAGCGAUCGGUCUGGCGCUUAGCGCGAGUACUUGCAUCGUCUCCGGCCAUCCUUGGGGAGAGUCUGUCUGGCAUUAGGUUGUCGGGCAGAGGAUCCUCAUCGUUUACUGUGAAAAAAUUAGAGUGUUCAAAGCAGGCUUAUGCCGUUGAAAUAUUAGCAUGGAAUAAUAAGAUAGGACUUUGGUACUAUUUUGUUGGUUUGCGCACCAAAGUAAUGAUUAAUAGGGACAGUUGGGGGUAUUCAUAUUUGGCAGUCAGAGGUGAAAUUCUUAGAUUUGCUGAAGAUGAACAACUGCGAAAGCAUUUACCAAGGAUGUUUUCAUUAA
rnacentral:rRNA from 1 species